GACGAACGCUGGCGGCGUGCUUAACACAUGCAAGUCGAACGAAGUGGCGAACGGGUGAGUAAUACGUGAGUAUCCUGCCCUCCUUUUUGGGAUAAGCCUUGGAAACGGGGUCUAAUACCGAUUAAAGGGGGAUGGGCUCGCGGCCUAUCAGCUUGUUGGUGGGGUGAUGGACUACCAAGGCGGUGACGGGUAGCCGGCAUGAGAGGGUGACAGGGCACAUUGGGAAUGAGACACAGUCCGGAGGGCUACGGGAGUGAGGAAUAGUGGACAUUGAACAAUGGGCGGAAGCCUGCAGGAGCGACGCCUCGUGGAGGAUGAAGGGUUUCGAGUUGUAUACAGCUGUCACUAACGAGUGGUUAGGUGGAGAAGAAGCGCCGGCUAACUACGUGCCAGCAGCCGCGGUAAUAC
rnacentral:rRNA from 1 species